GGAUCCACCUCUUCCCAUUCCGAACAGAGAAGUUAAGCCCGCCGUUGCCGAUGGUACUGCGCAAGCGGGAGAGUAGGAAGCCGCCACCU
rnacentral:rRNA from 1 species